rnacentral:misc_RNA from 1 species
CGGGGCAGGGCCUGGGUUG